GAAGUGGAUUGUGCUGGGAGAGCUGGAGAGUAGAGCCUGAAUGCUGUGUGAUGAAAAGGAGCUGAGGAACGGAGACUGGAUGGAAUAGAGAAAUGAAGAGCAUCCAUACUGAACAGCAGGAGCACUGCUGGGCUACUGAGCAAUCCCUGACAUCAAAAUGGUUGGCCAAAGUGAUUAUAAAAGUGGAGGAGGGAAAGACUUCCCUGUUUUCUAGGAGAGGCAGGAGCGAAAGGAAACUUGCUUAUUAUGGUGGCACAUGUGAAUGUAUGAAGAAUUGCACAUGCAAUGGUGAAAGUAUAUCCCCGCUUGAAGAUUUGGAGAGCGUCUCAAGAAGUAGAAGGUUGUGCUUACAUUUGCUGUACUUGCAAGUGGGCUUGCUUAAAUGAAUGUCUAUCAUCUGCAAACAGCUUAGAGCCCAGUGCUUCAAAGGAAGACCAAAAAAAACCCACUUCCUGCAGACAUCUACGCAGUGCUAUACUUAGGAGACAGCUUUUUCUUCAUCCUGGAACUCCUUCAACUCACCUGCUAUUUGUAAGCCUGCAGAUGGAAUGGCAUGAAGCAUCAUAUCUCCUGCUGAAGCUAAUGCUAGUCUUUCCUAUAAUUUUUUUCUUUUUUAAAGUUCACCAGACUUGCCAACUGCCUUGUUGUUUUAACUGAUUGUAACAUUACCCCAUUUCUUGUAAUAGCAACUGCAUUUUGCCCACACCCUAUCUACUCUGUGGACACCCAAAUAUUCAUUCAGGAAAGCUCUGGUUAAUCUGGGGUUGGUUGUCAUAGCUUCCUGGCCACCAAUGCCACUGUCCCUUUAUAUCAGCUGAGGGCCUGGCCUUGGCAUACAGGGCUGUCAGCAAUUACUCCUGUAAUGAUUACUCAAAGUUACCGUCAGACUGUGCACUCCUGCUCUGGGAGCUAGCGGGACACGAGGGACGUGCUAUCGCAGAGUCACUCCCAGGUGGACCUCAUGCUUCAGACUUGUUUGUCAGUGUCCCCAGAGCUGGGAGGGGACAUAAGGCAAGAGACUCCAGUUUUAUUGCACUUUUCUGUCGUUAAAUUGCCCAAGUUGUCCCGGAGCAACUCCUCAUCGCUUUGCUAUUUUGAGAACUAGAUAAAUCCUGCUUCCACAAUCCUCUUUUUGUAUGUAAAUCUCAGCGUGUCUCUUUUUGCUUUCUAAAGAUUGCCCUCCGUUUUGUUACAAAAAUAAAACAUAUUCCUUUUUUCUGGUCCCAGUGAGAAUAGUGAACGGCAGAAAGGUAUACCAUAGAUUAUAGGCACGGGGCAUUGACUUUCACAGCGGACAGAAGGUUCCCCAUGAUGAACACAAAGCUCACUGCAGAGGGUCAGAAAGCAGACAGGUGGGGUCAUGGCGGUGCUCCUUGGGUAGAGGAAGAAAAUGUUUGUGAUUUUGCUCUUUCCACAAGGAGGGCAAAUACUAACAGUCUGUGAUUUACUGGGAAAGUGAACGCUUGCAUGAGUUAGAUUCAGUAUUAUUACUUUGGCUUUUUCUCAGUUUUGUCUUUGCCAAGAGAGCAGUCAGCCCCCAGGUCUACAGGACUCGUGUUCUGCACAAAUGAUGCCAUAUUGCCUAACACCUGGAGGGCAGCCCAUGGUGUUGUAACUGAAAAUUUGCAAAACACUGUAAUUCUCUCUCCUACAGCCUAACUCCACACAGGGCAUCUUGAUUUUAAUGUUAGCUGGCUGAUGACAGCUGCCACGCUCUGUAGCUAAGCCCUCACGCACAACUACCCGAGCCUGCCUGCCUUCCUUAUAGUUUAACAAACCAAUGGAUUCAGGUUUAAACAUUUUGCAAAGGAGAUAUACGCCGACAGUUUCUAAUGGACCGUGUGUCACUCUUGUUAAUUGCAACAUCUCUUGUUUCUCUACUUGUUUUCACGCUCACCAGCAUUAGCUUCUGAAUUCUUAGCCUUUGUUUGCAGCUAUUGCUAUAUCUUUCCUAAGACGUGGCACCCAAAACUGAAUGUGGUCCUCCAAAUGCAAAUGCUCCAUUGUUCAGUAUUCUUUCAUUACAUUAUCUUCUGCAUUAUUUUUAUAUCCUCUUAUUAAUGCACCCACACACCCCAUUUGCAUUUUUUAACCUUUUUAAAAACGUUUUCAUUACAACAAUCAGAUAUAAAGGCGAUGAAGUAAGUGUGGAUUAACAGAAGUGACAAGCUUGAUUCUCCCCAGACUUAUCUUGAACUUCAUCGUGCCACUGAGUCUGAUUUACGGCAGGAGGAAGCAGGGGGGAUUGACCCCAGCACAUCUACACUUUGUGUAGAUGCUUGGGGAGGAAGGGUGAGGGCAGUGGGGACUGGGAGGUGGCCAGAGACACAGCCACCCUAUAACCCAGGUGCUGCUGCUAUAAAGCACGGAACGUUGCCACCAUAGCAUGUGCUGCGAGCCUCUCUACGGAGAAAUGGACAACCAGUUUUAAGCUAGAGCCAAGCAAAGUGGUGUGUAUGAAACAAACAUGCUUUAUGGGUUGUCUGACUGCAGAAGCAGCAUGUGACUCAGAACACCACUUGAGCAACACAGCCGCUAGCCAGGGAGCAGGAAAAAAGGUGAAAUCCACAAAGCAAUUGUUCUUGUCUUGCUUUCUGGCACUGUCUUAGCAGCCUUCCCAAUGUCUUUCCUUCUUUCUUAAUUGUGUCUGUUUUACUUGACUGGAUGUUCUCCAGGACUCGCUGUUAGAAGUUAUUAUUUCAUGGAUAUCAAUGCCUUUGUCUCUUGAGGAGUUUUCCCUUGUGAUGACUAUUGUUUGACUCCAGAUACAACAAAAUACAAAUGCCCUCAGGCUCCUUUUGUGUCCCUCAGUUAAGGCAAUACUUUGCUUGCCCAGCUAAGGUGAGGUUCAUAAAUAUGGGGUGUGGUUUUAUGACGUAGCUAAUUUGCUCUAAUGGCUAGCUGCCAGUCACAGAGGUGAGUCUGCUCCUUGUGUCAACAGCUUCAUGCUCCUGCUCCCUCCCCUGCUGCUUGUCUGACUUCUGCUGACGCAGUCCAGGACAGUGACCCAGCAGAAAACUGUUCACAUUUUUUUUUCUUUUUUUUUUUUUUUUCCCCUAGAUUAGUUUUCUGCCAGACUGACAUCCUCUGAUGGCUUGCCAAAGCAAGAUGAGCAUCAGCAUUGGCACAAGAAAGGAGACAGGGUUGCUCAAGAGAGAGGGAAGAUGGUAACACAAAAGAAUUUAAUUAAGUUGGUUGGUUGUAAAUCCACACCCUUGCAACUGUGUGUUUGGCUUGCACAGAUCAAAAUCACAAUUGCUAUCAAAGACAAGAAGCAUUAAUGGCAGCAAUGGAAACAGUAGAGAAGAGAGUAAAGCAAGGAGAAACAACAAGGAAAAGGAAAGGCAAGGCCAUCUCUAACAACAGCAGCAGUACCACAUUACACCAGCAGCACAAGGUAAAUCAUGAAAGCAUUUGCUUGGCUGUUCCCAGCAGUAGAAGCUGCAGGUGCUGCCUUUAAGCUAGGCAGGCCACACCUGGGAGAAUCAGUGGCCUUAUUCUCUUCUCCCUCAGCCUCCCACCACGUGCUGGGACCCCAGGUUCAUACUCCCUCCUACUCAACCCUGCUCAUUGCUUCAUUGACUGCAGCUGCUGGGGUGAAGGUUGGCACUGGUAACACCUCCACAGAAGCUCUGGGGAGUGCAUCUGCAUACGCCAGCAUGUUGGUCCUGUACUACGGCCUGGAGAUUCCUGUGUUGACCUCUUUCUUCAUCUCAAAACAGCGUACUGAUGGAUGGGAGUGGGUAAAGCUGCCAGAGGAAUGCAUUAUGUUGACACAGCGAUUUCACCUGCUGUUAUAUCCAUUUUCUGACUUCUUUCAGCAAACUUUCAUGGUGCUCAGGAGCUCUAUGAGAGGACGCACUGCAAGUCUGUAUGCAGGGAUUGAAGGAAUUUUACCCUCCUCAGCAUGAGGGGACGAGAAGACCAGGAUAUGACAGCAUGCUGAAUGGUGUAACUAUCAGCAACAACACAGUCCUGUCAAUCCGUGCAGGUAGAAACAUGUUAAUUACUAUGAACGCUUAAAAAUCUUUCCCUAACAUUUGUCUUGCUCACAUGGAACCUCCCCUUCUAUGCAAAGCAGGUUUGCUAUUUAAAUGUCAGCUUGUGUAUACAUGCUGGCUGCUGGCUCUUCCCGGGGGAUCCGAGACAGCUGACAUUGCUGCCAACAUAAAUAAUCUUGCAGGUUGGAGACAAGUUGGUGAGAGUGUGGUGAUCCUCCCUUUUCUUGUAUUCAAUAGGAGUGUUUU